ensembl:snRNA U6 U6 spliceosomal RNA
AUGCUCACUUCAGCAGCACAUAUACUAAAAUCGGAACGAUACAGACAUUAGCAUGGACCCUGUGCAAGUAUGACAGGCAAAUUCGUGAAGCAUUCCAUAUUAGA